rnacentral:rRNA from 1 species
UACAGAGGGGGCAAGCGUUAUUCGGAAUUAUUGGGCGUAAAGGGCGCGUAGGCGGCUUGGCAAGUGGAUGGUGAAAUCCCUCGGCUUAACCGAGGAACUGCCUGUCAAACUGCGUGGCUUGAGACCAGGAGAGGUGAGUGGAAUUCCCAGUGUAGCGGUGAAAUGCGUAGAUAUUGGGAGGAACACCAGUGGCGAAGGCGGCUCACUGGACUGGUACUGACGCUGAUGCGCGAAAGCCAGGGGAGCGAACGGG